AGCCCCGCCUCCUGCGCUUCCCCACAAGCCCCCGCGGCCUCGCCCCGCCCCCUUUAGCCUGGGCUUGAGCGCGCGCAGAAGUCAGCUUCGUGACUUCCUUCUCAGGAUGGAACCAGCUUGGUGGCUUGAGGGAAAGGGGUUCUGAGUUGCAAAUCAGAAACUUGAAGAUGAAAUGGCUACUACGCUGGGUAUUGCCUUUAUCUUGAAUGCCAGCCUGAUGGUCCAAGGUGAACAAGCCUUCCUGUGUUUUCUGAAUGUGCAGUUCCCCCGCACUUUGCCUGCCACCAUGUAAGAUGUGUCUUUGCGCCUCCUUUGCCUUCCGCCAUGAUUGUGUGGCCUCCCCAGCCAUGUGGAACGGUGUCUGGGGUCUGUCAGGAUCAACAGGCCUUGAGAGAGACUGACCCAGAGGACUACUAAAAGGGACACCUGCCCAGGCCAGCCUAUUCUACCAUCCUCGUUCUCCUGCAAAACCAAGGCCACGUCAUUUCAGCAGAGGACCUGAGUGCGGAAGGACCGUGCAGCUGGCCCAUCACAGGAGAGGCCCAGACUCACCUCCCAAGGGGACCCUGGCACAUGAAGAUGCUGGUUCUCCUGGGAGUGCUGCCCUGGCCCACAGGAUAGAAGCGCAGGAUGGUCACCCACGUCUGCUCUUACUGAAUGUGUCUUAGAAGCGGCUCCAUGUGUGAUUUCUUUCCCACAUUGGUUAGUAUGGUGUAUACCACGUUUGUGUUCCCGGGCUUUUGUUUAAGUUUGUGGGCAGCCCUGACAUCAGCAUCACACUCAAUGCCUGGGCUGAGCAUAUCCGUCAGACCUCCCAGCUAGGCCCACUCAUCACAUAGUCCCAUGCUGCACUUCUAGUUCUGCCAGCCACACCCCAUGCUGGUCCUCAGCCUGGAACACCCUCCCCCACCCUCCCUGCUCAGCUGUCCAGCUCCUACUCAUCCUCCAGCCCCAGGGCAAAUUCACUCUUCCACAAAGCCUGACCUCUCUUGAGCCUGCAGGAUCUCUCCUGCCUAGGAACUUGGUUGUGCAUAUUUGUCCUGUGUGCCUUUGACACAGCACAGUCAUCUCUGACCAUCUGUUGCUGCCAACAUGGUGUCAGUUAACGCCUGCACUGCCAUUUAACUUUUCCUCUGAAGUUCUUUGAGAAGGGGACCCUGCCUCAUGGGCCCUUUGUAUUGCCAUCCAAUGUGUGUUAGAAUCUAAACAGUUAGAUAAUUAUCAACCUGUGCCUGAGACCUGCAAUGAAUCAAUAUGUAAAUGAAUCAGGGCACUGGUCAGUCUUCCAGCCCCACUUGUUAUUAAAGACUCAGUGAAGAUGGUUAGCAAAGCAGAGGACAGCAAAUGGGUCUCCGGCAGCUGUGAAGCACCGGAGUUUAUCCAAAGGGGGAACAUGGGAUCUAGAGACUCAUCUCAAAGUUGCGUUUUUGUAACAAAUACACUGGGUUUGUUUUUUUUUUUUUAGCUAUAUUGUGUAUUUGUUGGGGCCUAAUGGAAAUUUAGGAGGACCUAAACCCCCAAGCCACCCUUGGCACCACCCCUACAAGGGGCAGCCACCACAGGGACUGGACAGUUCCAGCAGUUUCUGAAUCCACAGUGUCACAGAGAUCUCAGCUGUACCCUGCUUUUUUAGGAUCCCAAAGGAACCACCUGCCUACACUCUUUGCCAGCUGUGCUAAUGUUUGUUUUACACUGCCCAGUAAUGAUUAUAAAAUUACUAUUGCAUGUCCUCAAACUCCACUGGCUUUAAAGAGGGUCUAGAGGCACAAUGAGAACAAAGAGAAGUGGGCAAGACAGGCAGACAGCGAUAAGGAGGUUCAGAGAGACAGCGAGGGAGUGAGUAAGGGCGAGAUCAAGAGAGAGACAGGCCCGAGGCCAACCCGCAGCUGACCGCUGGCAUGAGGAACAUGGGCUGCCUCUUGCCCCAGGUAUGUUGGCACAGCUGGGCUGUUCUGGCCUCAAAGAUGAUGACAGGACAACAGGACUGGCAGGAGCGGUUCCUGACCCAUGAUUUGAAAUCUACAAUCUGUCAAAAUUACCAUAAUUAUUGUGCUAAGGUAGUUGGGUUAUGGGAAAUUCCCCCUUUCUCAUUCAUUCCUUCAUUCACCUGACAAAUAGCACUUGAAUGCCACUGUGUGCCAGACACUGUGAUAAGCAAAGUGGAUAAAGGGUGAGCAGCUCAGCAGCUGGAGAGAAAGAAAGACAUAAAUAAAGAACGUCUACAGCCAGAUCUGGGCAGGAGGA